rnacentral:misc_RNA from 1 species
GAUGAAGAACGUAGCGAAAUGCGAUAAGUAAUGUGAAUUGCAGAAUUCAGUGAAUCAUCGAAUCUUUGAACGCACAUUGCGCCCCUUGGUAUUCCGAGGGGCAUGCCUGUUCGAGCGUCAUUAUAACCCCUCAAGCUCAGCUUGGUGUUGGGGCCUGCCGCACGGGCAGCCCUUAAAAUCAGUGGCGGUGCCAUCUGGCUCUAAGCGUAGUAAUUCUUCUCGCUAUAGAGUCCCGGUGGAUGCUUGCCAUUAACCCCCAAUUUUCUAUGGUUGACCUCGGAUCAGGUAGGGAUACCCGCUGAACUUAAGCAUAUCAAAGCGGAGGA